rnacentral:rRNA from 1 species
UAAAAAUGUAGAUAAACCAAACCAAAUUAUUAAUAGUUAUGUUCUUUAAAGUUAAAGAUUUUGGCGGUAUUUUAGUCUUUUCAGAGGAACCUGUUCUGUAAAUGAUACUCCACGAUUAAUUAAACUUGGAUUAUUUAGUUUGUAUAUCGUUGUAGUUGAAAAUUUUAAAAGAAUCUAAAUUUUCAAAAAUUUAAAUUAAAAAAUAAAUCAGAUCAAGGUGCAAUUUAUAUUCAAGAAGAAAUGGGUUACACUAAAUUUAUUUAUAUGGUAUUUAUAUUUAAAAUUAUAAAUUAAAGAGGAUUUGAAAGUAAUUAGUUUAAGUUAAAAUUAAUGAUUUUAGCUCUAAAAUAUGC